rnacentral:rRNA from 1 species
UAAGCGGAGGAAAAGAAACUAACAAGGAUUCCCCUAGUAACGGCGAGUGAACCGGGAAGAGCUCAAAUUUGUAAUCUGGCCCUUGGGUCCGAGUUGUAAUCUAUAGAGGCGUUUUCCGCGCCGGACCGUGUCCAAGUCCCUUGGAAUAGGGUAUCAAAGAGGGUGACAAUCCCGUACUUGACACGACGACCGGUGCUAUGUGAUACGUCUUCGACGAGUCGAGUUGUUUGGGAAUGCAGCUCAAAAUGGGUGGUAAAUUCCAUCUAAAGCUAAAUAUUGGCGAGAGACCGAUAGCGAACAAGUACCGUGAGGGAAAGAUGAAAAGCACUUUGGAAAGAGAGUUAAACAGUACGUGAAAUUGUUAAAAGGGAAACGAUUGAAGUCAGUCGUGUUGGUUGGAUUCAGCUCGGUCUCCGGGUGUAUUUCCUUCCAACGGGUCAACAUCAGUUUGGAUCGGCGGAUAAAGAUGGAGGGAACGUGGCUCUCUCGGGAGUGUUAUAGCCCUCUGUUGCAUACGCUGGUCUGGACUGAGGCAUGCAGCUCGCCUUUAUGGCCGGGAUUCGUCCACGUUCGAGCUUAGGAUGUUGACAUAAUGGCUUUAAACGACCCGUCUUGAAACACG